CACAAAGGUUAUUAGCGCAGCCCAUGACUCACCGAGAGAUGUUUUGCUCAAAUUACCGUUGGACUCUUACCAUGGGGUAAUCAUGGGGGCUGUGAGGGGCUCUUCCAUGUUGUCGUUUGAGGGGACACAGCUGGCAUUUUUAUGGGACCUUUCCAGACAUACCCUGGUAUGGUGAAGAUCCCUCAAGCAGGUCACCCAGCUACUACAGGAGCACCGCAUUCUCUACAAAUGGG